rnacentral:tRNA from 1 species
GCCGCCUUAGCUCAGUGGUAGAGCAGCUCACUUGUAAUGAGAAGGUCCAGCGUUCGAAUCGUUGAGGCGGCACCA